rnacentral:rRNA from 1 species
CCUACGGGUGGCAGCAGUGAGGAAUAUUGGUCAAUGGACGAGAGUCUGAACCAGCCAAGUAGCGUGAAGGAUGACUGCCCUAUGGGUUGUAAACUUCUUUUAUAUGGGAAUAAAACGUUCCACGUGUGGGAUUUUGUAUGUACCAUAUGAAUAAGGAUCGGCUAACUCCGUGCCAGCAGCCGCGGUAAUACGGAGGAUCCGAGCGUUAUCCGGAUUUAUUGGGUUUAAAGGGAGCGUAGGUGGAUUGUUAAGUCAGUUGUGAAAGUUUGCGGCUGAACCGUAAAAUUGCAGUUGAAACUGGCAGUCUUGAGUACAGUAGAGGUGGGCGGAAUUCGUGGUGUAGCGGUGAAAUGCUUAGAUAUCACGAAGAACUCCGAUUGCGAAGGCAGUUCACUGGACUGCAACUGACACUGAGGCUCGAAAGUGUGGGUAUCAAACAGGAUUAGAUACCCUUGUAGUC